rnacentral:rRNA from 1 species
GACGAACGCUGGCGGCGUGCUUAACACAUGCAAGUCGAACGGUGAAGCGCCUUCCUUUUUGGUGGGUGUGGAUGAGUGGCGAACGGGUGAGUAACACGUGAGUAACCUGCCCCCUUCUUCUGGAUAACCGCAUGAAAGUGUGGCUAAUACGGGAUAUUCUGGGUCUGUCGCAUGAUGGGUCUGGGAAAGAUAUUGUUUCGGUGGGGGAUGGGCUCGCGGCCUAUCAGCUUGUUGGUGGGGUGAUGGCCUACCAAGGCGGUGACGGGUAGCCGGCCUGAGAGGGUGGACGGUCACACUGGGACUGAGACACGGCCCAGACUCCUACGGGAGGCAGCAGUGGGGAAUAUUGCACAAUGGGCGCAAGCCUGAUGCAGCGACGCCGCGUGAGGGAUGGAGGCCUUCGGGUUGUGAACCUCUUUCGCCAGUGAAGCAGGCCUGCCUCGUUUGUGGGUGGGUUGACGGUAGCUGGGUAAGAAGCGCCGGCUAACUACGUG